rnacentral:rRNA from 1 species
AUAUUGGACAAUGGGCGAAAGCCUGAUCCAGCAAUGCCGCGUGAGUGAUGAAGGCCCUAGGGUUGUAAAGCUCUUUUACCCGGGAUGAUAAUGACAGUACCGGGAGAAUAAGCCCCGGCUAACUCCGUGCCAGCAGCCGCGGUAAUACGGAGGGGGCUAGCGUUGUUCGGAAUUACUGGGCGUAAAGCGCGCGUAGGCGGCUUCGCAAGUCAGAGGUGAAAGCCCGGGGCUCAACCCCGGAAUUGCCUUUGAGACUGCGUCGCUAGAAGCCGGGAGAGGUGAGUGGAAUUCCGAGUGUAGAGGUGAAAUUCGUAGAUAUUCGGAAGAACACCAGUGGCGAAGGCGGCUCACUGGACCGGUAUUGACGCUGAGGUGCGAAAGCGUGGGGAGCAAACAGG